AGCUGCGUUUGGGUCCCCUUCGAUGGUGUUGGGGUUUUGUUGUUUCGCUCUUUGCAAUAAAUUUUGCUGUUGCUCACCUUUUAGGUCCACACUACCUUUAUGAGCUUUAACACUCACAGUGAAGGUCUGCAGGUUCACUCCUGUAAACCAGCGAGACCAGGAAGCCACCACAAGAAACAACUCUGGAGCCGCCACCUUUAAGAGCCAUAACACUCACUGUGAAGGUCUGUGGCUUCACUCCUGAAGUCAGCGACACCACGAACCCACAGGGAGGAGCAAACAACUCCAGACGCACCACUUUUAAGAGGUGUAACACUCCCUGCGAAGGUCUGUGGCUUCACUCCUGAGGUCGGCGAAACUACGAACCCGCUGGGAGGAAGGAACAACGCGGAUGCGCCACCUUUAAGAGCUGUAACACUCCCUGCGAAGGUCCGCGGCCUCACUCAUCAAGUCGUGCAUAGACCACGAACUCUCUAGAAAGAAAAAACUUCGGACACACCUGAACAUUUGAAGGAACAAACUCCGGACACACCAUGUUUAAGAACUAUAAUGCCGUGAAGGUCCGCGGCAGGACCGGGACCAGGAACUCUUCAGAGGGAACCAAUUCCGGAUACACAGCUUCGUGGAAUGGUUCUGCACUGUGUGUGUGUGUGUUUCCCGUCAACCCUGUGCACACUAUUAGAAGAACACAAGCGUUAAGGCUCCCUCUCAGUCCUGCCGGUAAGAAUCCAGGGCUGAUGCACCUAUUAAAAGCUUCUCAGGAGGCCUGGGGAAGUGGGGGUUGAGAACCACGGGUCUAGAUCUCUAAGAUGCCUGGCAGCUUAUUCCACUGUUGAGGGCACUGGCAAUCAGGAAGGGCUUCAUGGAAGAGAUGUUUGCAUUUGGGUUUUAAAGCAGGGCCACAGCUAGAUAUUAGCAGUGCAGAAGGACACGGGAUCCGACGGGCAGCCUGUUGACCAAAUGGCUCCGUUUUUAUAAAGUCAAAGAACAUCACUGUGAAGGAUAAGGCAUUAACUGGAGCAGACCUUUCCCUGGUAAAACAGAGCGAAUGGGAUCUGGUGGGAGGUGGUAAUGGCCAAGAGGUAGUGCCGUCAGUGAAAAGCGUCAUGGAGUCGUGCACCUUACAGGGAGGAUGGGCCGCAGCCAGGAGCUGAGAGGGCAUCUUUUAAAUUUGCCGUCAGCUCAGGAACUUAAUCACACAUCUCAUCCUAGCCCUUGCUCACACCCAUUGUUUUAGAAAUCGUUGAUAGAGUGGAGUCCUGGAUGCCUGUUACUCUGGGAGAGGCUGUCCUCUGUCACCAGAUCCCUUUUAUGGACAGGCAUUUUCUUUAGUAAUAUUUACCUUGUCUACGAUGAUGAAACAAAGGUGUGACCUCUUAAUUGUAUAGUUAAUGGUGAGUAGAGAUGCUUUUUUUUUUUUUACUUUUUAUUUUUGAGACAGUUUUGCUCUUGUUGCCCAGGCUGGAGUGCAAUGGCGCGAUCUCGGCUCACCACAACCUUGGCCUCCUGGGUUCAAGUGACUCUCGUGUCUCACUCUCCUGAGUAGCUGGGAUCACAGGCAUGCGCCGCCAUGCCCAGCUAAUUUUGUGUUUUUAGUAGAGUCGGGGUUUCUCCAUGUUUGUCAGACUGUUCUUGAACUCCCGACCUCAGGUGAUCUGCCCACCUCAGCCUCCUAAAGUGCUGGGAUUAGAGGUGUGAGCCACCUCGCCCGACGGAGAUGCUUCUUAAUAUUAAAAAAUCUAAACAAAAUAAUUUCUGCUUCAAAUUAUAAUAACCAGGUACCAGGACAAAACCAAUUUUUUGUUGUGUGUGUGUGUGUGUGUUUGAGACGGGCUCACUUUGUUGCCCAGGAUGAAGUUCAGUGGUGCAAUCAUAGCUCACUGUAGCCUCGACCUCCAACGCUCAAGAGAUACUCUUGCCACAGCUUCCUAAGUAGCUGGGACUACAGGUGUGCAUCAACACGCAUGGCUAAUGUUUACAUUUUUAAAAAUUGCAAUAGUUUUUGGGGAACAGGUCAUUUUUUUGUUACAUGGAUAAGUUAUUUAGUGGUGAUUUCUGAGAUUUUUGUGUACUCAUCACCUGAGCAGUGUACACUGUACCCAAUGUAUAGUCUUUUAUCCCUCACCCUCCUCCCACUUUCCCUUGAGUCCCC
rnacentral:lncRNA from 1 species